ACGUAGGUGGCAAGCGUUGUCCGGAAUUACUGGGUGUAAAGGGAGCGCAGGCGGGGAGACAAGUCAGCUGUGAAAACUAUGGGCUUAACCCAUAAACAGCCUUUGAAACUGUUUUUCUUGAGUGGAGUAGAGGUAGGCGGAAUUCCCAGUGUAGCGGUGAAAUGCGUAGAUAUUCGGAAGAACACCAGUGGCGAAGGCGGCUUACUGGGCCGUAACUGACGCUGAGGCGCGAAAGUGUGGGGAGCAAACAG
rnacentral:rRNA from 1 species